rnacentral:lncRNA from 1 species
ACUCCGGCUUGAGUGUUAAAUGGCCAGCAGGAAUUAUCCACUAGAGAAGCGGAAGGGAGAGAAUGGAAAUGGCCGCAUGCAGCUCCUCUCCCUCAGACAGCUCGGGGCUCAGCGGAAUGAGCACAGUCUGCAGGACAAGUGCGGAGGACUUCAGUCCCCUCUACUGUAUAUUGGCUUUAGGACUCAAGUUGUCCCUGAAAUAGAGGAAGGUGUUUUCUAGGGUAGUGGUAAUUAUCACAGUCAAAAAAGUAGGCGAGAGCACUUAGGAAAACUGUGCGGAGAUCGGCUGCUGAUGUGUAAAUACUGCUGAAGCUGCUUAUUCAAGAUUAGAAAACCUGAGACCCAGACGGGGGAAACUGCUUUCCAUGGUUAAUCGUCAACAACUGGCCAGGAUGGGACAGAAGCCCAUACAUAGCCUUCAUUCCAGGGCUCAGAACAAAAAGAAGGCAGUGGCCUGGGCUGCACCUGAGCUUGGCUUCACAUAGGAGGGAUUCUGGAACGCAGGAUCCUGACAACGACCUCAAGCCCCUGUAAAGCAACACAUUUUUUGGCAAGAAUCCCUGGGACAGAGAAAGAAUUUCUUCUCACUUAUUAUUGAGAAUGUUCUCAUGUCUUGCAAGGCUCACUGCCCAGUAGAAGCUGAAAAGAUUCAGUAUGAGUAAAAGAAGAGAUCUGAAAUUUGCAGCUUGUCAUAGAAAGAACUGAGACUACCAUACACCUAAGAAGUCAAAGUUGCUAUUCAAGGGGAAGUGCAAACACAAGAUGAGGGAAACUGAUGUAUUUAGUGUCUACAUUUUACAAAUGGAUGCUUUUCAUAAUAUGAAAAUACUGCACCAUAAGAUUGCCAGUCACAACAGCACGGCUACAGUGAAAAUUGUCAGUCUUUUUUUUUUCCAGGAUCCCAGUGGAUUUGUUACGGUGAGAAAGCUUCACUUGGAGACAAAGCCAAAACCUUCCUCCCAGGCUCCCUUGGAUGUAGGGGGAAGCAAACUGGCUGUCCAGGCCUCUGAGCCACAUCUACACACCUCAUGAGAGGGCCUGUGCAACAUUGCCUUAGAGAUGGAGAGCAUUGCUUCAGAAUCAGGGAAGCCUAAAUUUCACCCCUGGGGCUGCCCCUUGUGAUCUUGAAUGGCUCCUGACAAGAGGCUGCUGGGGAGGCUCCUGCUCCCUGCCUUUCGGGACUGCCGUGGAUUGCCCAUUGAUGGGUCAAAAUCCAGCUACCUGGUAAUUCAAUGAGUCCCUAGUGUGCAUCCAAUAAAUUAUCUUCUGUUUAAAUUAGAACAAACUGUUUUUAAUCUGUGUGCUAAGAAUCUCAUUAAAUGCAUCAUAAAUUUCAAAAUCAAAAACUAAAUAAAACA